UACGUAGGGGGCUAGCGUUGUCCGGAUUUAUUGGGCGUAAAGAGCUCGUAGGCGGCUCAGUAAGUCAGGUGUGAAACCUCCAGGCUCAACCUGGAGACGCCACCUGAUACUGCUGUGGCUAGAGUCCGGUAGGGGAGCGUGGAAUUCCUGGUGUAGCGGUGAAAUGCGCAGAUAUCAGGAGGAACACCAGCGGCGAAGGCGGCGCUCUGGGCCGGAACUGACGCUGAGGAGCGAAAGCGUGGGUAGCAAACAGG
rnacentral:rRNA from 1 species